UCUUUAAUGCUACAUUGAACAACACGGUUCUCGUCCGAUCACCGAAGUUAAGCAAUGUCGGUCAGUAUUUGGGAGGGUGACCACCAGGUGUGCUGUAGGUU